rnacentral:rRNA from 1 species
UACGUAGGGUGCGAGCGUUGUCCGGAAUUAUUGGGCGUAAAGAGCUUGUAGGUGGUUUGUCGCGUCUGCUGUGAAAAUCCGAGGCUCAACCUCGGACUUGCAGUGGGUACGGGCAGACUAGAGUGUGGUAGGGGAGACUGGAAUUCCUGGUGUAGCGGUGGAAUGCGCAGAUAUCAGGAGGAACACCAAUAGCGAAGGCAGCUCGCUGGGACGAAACUGACGCUAAGGCGCGAAAGCGUGGGGAGCGAACAGG